rnacentral:tRNA from 1 species
GUUCUUGUAGUUGAAUUACAACGAUGAUUUUUCAUGUCAUUGGUCGCAGUUAAAUGCUGUGUGAGAACA